rnacentral:lncRNA from 1 species
GGAUACAGGGGCACAAAUACUUGACAAAGAUGCAGACUUAGUUUUACUACGUGGAGCAGAUUUACAGAAUUACCACUAAUAUGAGAUAAAUUAUCUAAAUGUUAUAAGGAAUAAACAAAAAAUGUGAUAAUCAAAGGAAUGUGUGAAUUUUGACAGAGUAGAGAAAAUUAGAGGAGCAUUCACAGAUGUGGCAUUUGAGUUGACCUUUGAAUGAUGACUCUGUUGAAAGUAAACAGCAGGAGAAGAGCAUUGGAGCACCAAGAAUAACAUGUUGGAUGCAAGGAAUUGAACAUUAUAUUGCGGCAGAAGCGAUGUUCUGUACAUUUUGAGGUAUGUCAUAAAAUACAUUGCAGAUUAUGUCUGGACUCUUGAUGCCCUUUCCUUGAUGCCCCUGAGUCGCAUGCAAAAUUGUUGACUGCUAUGAGAUUGAUACAUUAGACAGACUACGUGAAUGC